AUUCCCUGUGAUGUUCAUCUAAACCAUGCUAAUGCUGAUAUGUGUUGAUGAUUAAUUAUUAAAUGUUAUUCUGAGGGAAUC